rnacentral:rRNA from 1 species
CCUCCGGGGCGCAGCAGUGGGGGAUAUUGCACAAUGGGGGGAACCCUGAUGCAGCGACUCCGCUUGUGCGCUGGAGUACUUCGGUAUGUAAAGCCCUAUCAGCAGGGAAGAAAAUGACGGUACCUGACUAAGAAGCCCCGGCUAAAUACGUGCCAGCAGCCGCGGUAAUACGUAUGGGGCAAGCGUUAUCCGGAUUUACUGGGUGUAAAGGGAGCGUAGGCGGCCGGGCAAGCCUGAUGUGAAAUACCGGGGCCCAACCCCGGGGCUGCAUUGGGAACUGCCAGGCUGGAGUGCCGGAGAGGCAG